UCCUUUUCUGUAUUUUUGCUUUUUUCUGUCACAGUUUCGAUCUUUUUUGUAAUUUCUUUUCACUUUUCUCAUUUUCUUCACGCCGUCUUUAAAAGUUAAAAAUGUUGCACCAGUCCGAUGCAUUUAGUGUUUUAGAGAAUCCAGGACUGUGUUUGGACCACAAAAUGGUUGAUAUUUUUAAAGAGAACCAGAAGAACCUGGAGAAGAACCUGGAGAAGAACCUCCGAGUCCAAUCAGCAGAUCAGUUCUGCCCCUGAACCUGCAGCAGAACCUUCUCUCUCCUCCAGGUUCUUCCUCUGCCGUGAUGGAAUCUUUGAGGAGACCCGAGAAAUCCCACCUGUGCUGUUGCCAUAGCAACCGCUGUGAGUGACACCUCAGAGGAGAGCCGAACACAAACCGGAGCGUGAAGCAGCUCCACGCGGGCCCGAAGCUGGAAGUUCUGGUGGCGGUGUAACUGGACCCGGACAGCACCGAGCGGCAUCAGGACUGCGGGAGCGCCUCCCUCAGGAGGACGCCAGAUGCUCCGGCGUCGGUCAGGUUAGCCGAUGACGACGGGGAGAAAGUGAGACGGGUGAGGAGGGGAGGCGGGAGAAAGUGAAAAGUGUGUGGCAGAUGGCGAGCGGGGAGAGGCGGGGUCAUGUUGCAGGAUCAGAUGUUCACGGCGGCGCGUCUCUGUACCUUCGCCUGCAGUUUGGACCCAAUCGGCUUCAACUCUUCGUCUUUCAGGUUGAAGCUGGAACCGGUUCUGCUGGGAUCAAUAUUCUGAUUUAAAUUUGAUCAAAUUCUAUUCUGUUUCUGCUCGUGUCAAUCAUCAAAGCUUAAAUCCUGAUGUUACCCAGAAUGCAUCACCAGCUCUCCCAUAACUAACACAGGAAACAGAAGGAAGGGUAUCGAACACACGGCUGGACGGCUGUGCCCGAGGACGCUGGACAUAUAAAACCCAAAGAAUGAAGGCAAACGCUGAGACUUCCGGUUUGAAACCUUUUAAAAAACAAAAAAGUUCUCUUCUCUAAUCUGGACUUUCUUCUGCUCCUGAUGACGGUUUACAUUUGGAUUUUGCGGAUGAGGAGCUUAUUUCUUCACCCAGACUUCACCGUUCCUGCUCCUUUUCCUUCAUCCCUUUGUGAAAAGUCUUCAUCUUUGAAGGACAUUCUGAACUCUUCUUCAGUCAUGACUGUUAAUAUUUUCUGUUUUUUUUAAAUAUAAGAACUUUACUAAGAAAAAAACAACUGGAUUUAUUCUGUUGGAGCUGUGAAUUUGUGUCAUUUAAAUAUUCUUCUCCAAUUACCCAAUUAUCAUCGUCAUCUUAAACUUUUAGAUUUUCAUUCUCUCUGAUUUGUUGAGCUUAAAGGUUUGAUUUCUGUCAUUUCCUGUCAUUUAAAUAAAGCUUGUUUCAACGUU